AUGGCUUAAACUCAAUGAGUAAGGAAACUAAUGCUCUACCUGACAAGUAGGGUUGCUCACUGGGUCUAGUGACCUGUGGGUUUUAUAUUUUUAACGGAGGUGGAAUGGCCUUCUUCUUAGAAACCUGCUACAUUAGGGUGACUAUUAGGGGGUCGGUCCCCGCC
rnacentral:snRNA from 1 species